GAAAAGACGAGGAUUCUGGUUAAGGAAGCAUUUGGAUUUUGAAUAACUUCGCAAUUCAACAUUUGGUGGAGAGGGGAUGGUAGGAUAGAGAAUAUGUUGGAAUUCUUCCAGAGCAACUCGGACGCUUCCAUGUCGGGAGCGUCUACUGAUGCAUAGCUGCUGUUGCUGCUGCUGCUUGGAGCCGCCGCCGUUCAGGUAGACGUCGUUGUUGGAAAUAAAUAAAGCGAGCAAACGAUGCCGUGGGGAGCGCUGCCGCCGGCUUUGCCCCCUCAGCCAGCGCUCGAGCUCCUCUCGGCUAUCGUGGCGGCCAUCUUUGCGACCCGGUCUGUGGUAACUACGGCAACCCGCGGCGGACAGCCCGUGAGCGCGCGGCCGCCAGGGGGCGAGGCUGAGGCCGCUGCCCAGGUCUGUGCACCUUUGCUGCUAUAUAACCAUUAAAAAAAACAUUUCCAAAUAAAACUUUCAAUUAA